rnacentral:rRNA from 1 species
GGAACCCUGAUCCAGCCAUGCCGCGUGUGUGAAGAAGGCCUUAUGGUUGUAAAGCACUUUAAGCGAGGAGGAGGGUACUGGUAUUAAUACUACCAGCUACUGGACGUUACUCGCAGAAUAAGCACCGGCUAACUCUGUGCCAGCAGCCGCGGUAAUACAGAGGGUGCGAGCGUUAAUCGGAUUUACUGGGCGUAAAGCGUGCGUAGGCGGCUAAUUGAGUCGGAUGUGAAAUCCCCGAGCUUAACUUGGGAAUUGCAUUCGAUACUGGUUAGCUAGAGUGUGGGAGAGGAUGGUAGAAUUCCAGGUGUAGCGGUGAAAUGCGUAGAGAUCUGGAGGAAUACCGAUGGCGAAGGCAGCCAUCUGGCCUAACACUGACGCUGAGGUACGAAAGCAUGGGGAGCAAACAGGAUUAGAUACCCUGGUAGUCCAUGCCGUAAACGAUGUCUACUAGCCGUUGGUCUCUUUGAGGGAUUAGUGGCGCAGCUAACGCGAUAAGUAGACCGCCUGGGGAGUACGGUCGCAAGA